AAAUAAAAACAUCAGUAGGAGGGGAAGGAGGAAGGAAGGAGAAGAAAGAGGAAGAAUAGGAGGAGAAGAGGAAGAGAGGAAGAAGUCGUGAACAGCCCUCCUGCAUUUUGCAUCAGAUGGAGUCUUGCUUUGUCGCCAAGGCCAGAGGGCAGUGGUGGUGUCUCAGCUCACUCAACCUCCACCUCCCGGAUUCAAGCAAUUCUCCUGCCUCGGCUUCUUGAGUAGCUGGGACUACAGGUGCCGGCCACCACACCUAGCUAAUUUUUGUAUAUUUAAUAGAGACAGGGUUUCACCAUGUUGGCCAGGCUUGUCUUGAACUCCUGACCUCAGGUGAUCCACCCACCUUGGCCUCCCAAAAUUCUGGGAUUACAGGCAUGAGCCACCAAGCACAGCCAGUUUUUAACUUUAAUAAAUUCUAGCUUACAAAAUAUUUAUUUCAUUGGUGUUGCCUGAAUGUACCACAGUUUUUUUAUUCAGCCAGUUAAUGAAGGACAUCUUGGUUUCUUCCAUAUUUUGGCAAAUGUGAGUAAAGCUGCUAUAAAUGUCUGUGUGAAUGUAUUUGUGUGCACAUAAGUUUUCAACUCCUUUGGGUAAAUAGCAAGGAGUGCAAUUCCUGGAUCAUCUGCAAAGUCAUCACCGUAUCCAGGGUCAUCCAGGUUUUCUCUGAUGUUAUCCUCUAGGAUUUUACAGUUUUGCAUGUUACAUUUAGGUCUAUGAUCUACUCUGAGUUAGUUUUUGCAAAGCUUAUAAGGUCUUUGUCUAGACUCAUUUUUUCAUGUGGAUGUCCCGUUGUUUCAGUACCGUUUGUUGAGAAGGCUGUUUUUUCUCCAUUGCCUUAUGUUUUCUCCUUUGCUGAGUUUAGUUUUUAUGGCCAUGA
rnacentral:lncRNA from 10 species